AUAAAUUUGACUAGAGCGUACAAAAAUAUUAAGAAAUUUUUCAGCAUUAUUAACACAGUAUCUUCCAAAAUGUUUUGCGAGUGAUCAAAGGAGAAAACCGGACUCAACAGCGAAUUAUAAAUUUCGCGUAGAGCAUCGUUAAAUCUUUCUCAAUACUUCCUCUCGUCAGCUACAUAUUGUGUUCUGGUCUUGGUGCUGAUUUGCAAACCAGCCUGCUACUGGCCAACAAUUGUUUGUCUCAGACACCGGGGGCCCUGUCUUAAACCCAGGAACAGCCUAGCUAAAACAAAUAAAUUUGUACUAUCGAUUGGACAUUUGCAAAGAUGUGGUCGAGUUCUGACAUCCUUUGUCCAACAUUCGUUGGCAUGACAAUUCUGAAUAUGCAAUUAAAAGGACAAAAUUCCUAAAUAGUAUUUGCUUGGACCACGGCUAUCAAGGACAUCAGAAUCGUCUUAGUACUUUUUGAAAAAUCUAGGAUUUAUAAGGAAUUUUAAUUUUGGUUUAACAAAUUUAAUAUUUGCUACUAUAUAUUUCCGAGUGUACGAAUAGA